rnacentral:rRNA from 1 species
UACGUAGGGUGCGAGCGUUGUCCGGAAUUAUUGGGCGUAAAGAGCUCGUAGGCGGUUUGUCGCGUCGUUCGUGAAAACUCCACGCUUAACGUGGAGCGUGCGGGCGAUACGGGCAGACUUGAGUUCGGUAGGGGAGACUGGAAUUCCUGGUGUAGCGGUGAAAUGCGCAGAUAUCAGGAGGAACACCGGUGGCGAAGGCGGGUCUCUGGGCCGAUACUGACGCUGAGGAG